GGGGGCGUAGCUCAGUUGGUUAGAGCGCAUCCUUGACAUGGAUGAGGUCGCUGGUUCGACUCCAGUCGCUCCCACCA
rnacentral:tRNA from 1 species